rnacentral:lncRNA from 1 species
GGGUCUGAUUAAGAUCGGGUCUUAGACCAGAAUAUCAGGUUUAUACGGUUCAAGUUGUCAGAUGAUCGGUAAUCUUUGGAAUCUCUCAUAAUCCUGUGCUAAUUGAUAAGCUUAUUCUAAGCUAUAGAUCUCAUGCAUGAACAGUUCUCUUUAUAUGUCAUCCCUUAAACCAGCUCUAAAUCAUGAUAAGGUGAUAGAUGGGUCUUCACUAACACCAUAUUGCAUAAGAUAUUCAUCAAAUUUGGUGAU